rnacentral:rRNA from 2 species
CUUCGGGAUGCCGGCGAGCGGCGGACGGGUGAGUAAUGCCUAGGAAUCUGCCUGGUAGUGGGGGAUAACUCGGGGAAACUCGAGCUAAUACCGCAUACGUCCUACGGGAGAAAGCGGGGGAUCUUCGGACCUCGCGCUACCAGAUGAGCCUAGGUCGGAUUAGCUAGUUGGUGAGGUAAAGGCUCACCAAGGCGACGAUCCGUAGCUGGUCUGAGAGGAUGAUCAGCCACACUGGAACUGAGACACGGUCCAGACUCCUACGGGAGGCAGCAGUGGGGAAUAUUGGACAAUGGGCGAAAGCCUGAUCCAGCCAUGCCGCGUGUGUGAAGAAGGUCUUCGGAUUGUAAAGCACUUUAAGUUGGGAGGAAGGGCAGUAAGCUAAUACCUUGCUGUUUUGACGUUACCGACAGAAUAAGCACCGGCUAACUUCGUGCCAGCAGCCGCGGUAAUACAAAGGGUGCAAGCGUUAAUCGGAAUUACUGGGCGUAAAGCGCGCGUAGGUGGUUUGAUAAGUUGGAUGUG